GGGGGGGUAUUCUUUAAAAUAUUAAUUUUGUUUUAUUUGGAAUGGUUUAUUUUGUUUUUUCCUUUAUUGGGUUGAUUUUUCGGUUGGGUAGAUUAAAGUUUAAUUUUGGCUUGGUAUUUCAGUUAAUCUUUUUUUUUUUACAUGCGUUGGGUUUUACUUAUAAAGAGUAUUUGCAGUAUUUUGUAU
rnacentral:rRNA from 1 species